AUAUGUACCUGGCAGGGGAGAUACCAUGAUCAUGAAGGUGGUUUUCCCAGGGCGAAGCUUAUCCAUUGUACUCCGGAUAUGCUGAUCCCUGUGAUUUCCCCAGAUGUAGGAAACUCAACUACAGUC
ensembl:snRNA U1 U1 spliceosomal RNA